UCGCCCUCUCCUCUCUUCCUCGCUUUCUUGUCGACACCGCCCGCCGACGCCGCCCGCGGCCCGCCACCCCCUCUCACCCCGCGCCGCGCUGCCAACUUCCUCUUCCUCUCGAGCAUCGCCGCCGCCUCCCUCUUCCUCCCGCGGGUCAUCCUCUUCCUCCCCGAGUUAAAGUUGAGUUUUUUUCCCCUCGGGCGACCGAAUCUGCAGCUGUCAGGAUGGAGGUGGAGGGAGGUGCGAGCAGCGGCGGCCGCCGUGGACCUCCUUUCGACGGUGUUGCAGGAAGCUCCUACGAUGGUGCUGUUCUUGGCUGCCUUACCUUUCCUGGAAGCGGAAAGAUUGACACUUACUAGACGCUGAAUUAUGUCGAGUAAUACUAUGGCUAUGUGGUCCGAGGAGUGGGAGUUGUAUCCAAGGACAGUGCCGAGCUCCAAGCAUGGUGGUGGCCGACGGGGACUAGGAAGGCAACACGACGGUUUCAUUCGCCGAUGUACGUCCGUGACAGCGACCAUCAGGGAGAUUCGGAGGCACUGCUGCCGGUCGCCUGCCCGGAGUUGUUGCUUCCGGUCGGCCGACCACUUCCACGACAAGCUGCUGCUGCUGCUAGAUGAGCAAGAGCGGCCAUGGAUUCAGCCGUUGAAAUCGGAGUAAAAACGUUACAGAGAGGCUGGGUGUGCCCUCUUCCGAUCCAGAGAAAGACUGAAGAACCAUGGAGGUGUAAAGCCUGUAACUGUCUAACGAUGUGGAAAAGCGAGAAUCGAUUGCCCCAUGAGCGACUGAAAUUCAACCGGGAUUGAGGGCGGUGUGUUGCGGUGUGGGGAAAGAGAAGCGAUGAAGUGCAGACGCCUGAGGAUGAGUAAGAGCAAAAAUUGAUUCGGCUGUCAACCAUCGGGAGUGACAUUACUGGGUUAGAGCAGACUGGUUCCUAGAACACUAGCGAGUUCUUGUUGCCGAUCAUCCAGGCGGUAGCAUCCGUUGGGCCAUCUAAUGACGAGUGUGAAAUGUGGUAGUUUUCAGGAGCGACCUACAUGUCAGUAUUCUGCGGAAAGCUCAGGAACAUCGACUUGAAGUCCUUGACGUCAGAUACAGAUUUGAACACCUUCCCUUUCCAACAAAGAGGUAUGAACAGCUUGAAGACAUAUGUAAACAUUUUAUGUGGCUUAUCCUUAAUACUCCCACGAAGGUUGUCUGAGAUUUAUCAAAAUUUAAAUGUAUCGGACAACCUUCAUGGGCCGGAGUGAUGAGGACAUCCCAUCUCUUGAUACAACCGCUGUACCUACAGCCACACAAAUACAAGGACCAAUCACUCGAGCUCGUGCCAAACAACUUAACUAUCAGGUACUUUCGUUUCUUGGAACUAUUCCUCACAUACAUGAGAAUAUGAUGCUGCCUAAAUCAGAUAUGUUUGUUACUCUUAGGAAUGAUGGACCAAGCAUGGAUGAGGAGGACAAGCAUUGGAGCAUGAUCACGCAUGGAGGAGAUGGCAGCAAGCGUGUGAGGAUUGAAGAUGACGCCGCAAGUGGAGAUUUCAGAACUUUGAAGCCACCAUAAGAAGAGAUGAAGACAUGGACGAAAUAUAGAGUUUCCCACUUCAUAAUUUCGUCCAUAGCAUGUUAUGGUGCUGCGUCACCUUUAGUUUUGGGCCAGGCCCAUGUCAUUUUCGCAGGAAUUAAGUCAGCCACUUUUUAGAGUCCGUAUUGAAGGGGAAAAGGCCUUUUAGGGUUUGGUUCGACCACCAUACGUAUGGUUGGCCGAAACCCCACCUUUUUCCUCCUUUAAAUACCCCCAUAGCCGUCACGUUUAGACGGGGAUUUUGAUUAGAUUAAAAGUUAGCCAAUUGCUGCAACUUCGUGUACUUCUUUUGAGGCCAACGCCCAGAACAAGACCGACUAUUCGGAAUCCCACCUUUUCAAUAAAGCUUUCAUCUAUAUCCGCAAUAUUCUGAUUGCAAUAUUAGUUCUUACUUGUUCUCGAUUUCAGGUAGGAAUUAAGACCCUCGCUGGUCAGGCUGAUCGUGCUUCCGCAAGAUUAGUAACUCCCGGAGAUUGUCCUAGCGAUUGCAUUGGCGCACGAGCUUUGCACGUGUAGUCGGAUCGUCAAGCACGAACUCCACCAACA